rnacentral:rRNA from 1 species
GGUUAAGCGACUAAGCGUACACGGUGGAUGCCCUGGCAGUCAGAGGCGAUGAAGGACGUGCUAAUCUGCGAAAAGCGUCGGUAAGGUGAUAUGAACCGUUAUAGCCGGCGAUGUCCGAAUGGGGAAACCCAGUGCAAUUCGUUGCACUAUCGUUAACUGAAUACAUAGGUUAACGAGGCGAACCGGGGGAACUGAAACAUCUAAGUACCCCGAGGAAAAGAAAUCAACCGAGAUUCCCCCAGUAGCGGCGAGCGAACGGGGAGCAGCCCAGAGUCUGAAUCAGCUUGUGUGUUAGUGGAACGGUCUGGAAAGUCCGACGGUACAGGGUGAUAGUCCCGUACACCAAAAUGCACAGGCUGUGAACUCGAAGAGUAGGGCGGGACACGUGGUAUCCUGUCUGAAUAUGGGGGGACCAUCCUCCAAGGCUAAAUACUCCUGACUGACCGAUAGUGAACCAGUACCGUGAGGGAAAGGCGAAAAGAACCCCGGCGAGGGGAGUGAAAAAGAACCUGAAACCGUGUACGUACAAGCAGUGGGAGCACCUUCGGGUGUGACUGCGUACCUUUUGUAUAAUGGGUCAGCGACUUAUAUUCUGUAGCAAGGUUAACCGUAUAGGGGAGCCGCAGGGAAACCGAGUCUUAACUGGGCGUUAAGUUGCAGGGUAUAGACCCGAAACCCGGUGAUCUAGCCAUGGGCAGGUUGAAGGUUGGGUAACACUAACUGGAGGACCGAACCGACUAAUGUUGAAAAAUUAGCGGAUGACUUGUGGCUGGGGGUGAAAGGCCAAUCAAACCGGGAGAUAGCUGGUUCUCCCCGAAAGCUAUUUAGGUAGCGCCUCGUGAACUCAUCUUCGGGGGUAGAGCACUGUUUCGGCUAGGGGGUCAUCCCGACUUACCAACCCGAUGCAAACUACGAAUACCGAAGAAUGUUAUCACGGGAGACACACGGCGGGUGCUAACGUCCGUCGUGAAGAGGGAAACAACCCAGACCGCCAGCUAAGGUCCCAAAGUCAUGGUUAAGUGGGAAACGAUGUGGGAAGGCACAGACAGCCAGGAUGUUGGCUUAGAAGCAGCCAUCAUUUAAAGAAAGCGUAAUAGCUCACUGGUCGAGUCGGCCUGCGCGGAAGAUGUAACGGGGCUAAACCAUGCACCGAAGCUGCGGCAGCGACACUAUGUGUUGUUGGGUAGGGGAGCGUUCUGUAAGCCUGCGAAGGUGUGCUGUGAGGCAUGCUGGAGGUAUCAGAAGUGCGAAUGCUGACAUAAGUAACGAUAAAGCGGGUGAAAAGCCCGCUCGCCGGAAGACCAAGGGUUCCUGUCCAACGUUAAUCGGGGCAGGGUGAGUCGACCCCUAAGGCGAGGCCGAAAGGCGUAGUCGAUGGGAAACAGGUUAAUAUUCCUGUACUUGGUGUUACUGCGAAGGGGGGACGGAGAAGGCUAUGUUAGCCGGGCGACGGUUGUCCCGGUUUAAGCAUGUAGGCUGGUUGUCCAGGCAAAUCCGGAUAAUCAAGGCUGAGGUGUGAUGACGAGGCACUACGGUGCUGAAGUAACAAAUGCCCUGCUUCCAGGAAAAGCCUCUAAGCAUCAGGUAACAUUAAAUCGUACCCCAAACCGACACAGGUGGUCAGGUAGAGAAUACCAAGGCGCUUGAGAGAACUCGGGUGAAGGAACUAGGCAAAAUGGUGCCGUAACUUCGGGAGAAGGCACGCUGGUGUGUAGGUGAAGUCCCUGCGGAUGGAGCUGAGACCAGUCGAAGAUACCAGCUGGCUGCAACUGUUUAUUAAAAACACAGCACUGUGCAAACACGAAAGUGGACGUAUACGGUGUGACGCCUGCCCGGUGCCGGAAGGUUAAUUGAUGGGGUUAUCCGUAAGGAGAAGCUCUUGAUCGAAGCCCCGGUAAACGGCGGCCGUAACUAUAACGGUCCUAAGGUAGCGAAAUUCCUUGUCGGGUAAGUUCCGACCUGCACGAAUGGCGUAAUGAUGGCCAGGCUGUCUCCACCCGAGACUCAGUGAAAUUGAACUCGCUGUGAAGAUGCAGUGUACCCGCGGCAAGACGGAAAGACCCCGUGAACCUUUACUAUAGCUUGACACUGAACAUUGAGCCUUGAUGUGUAGGAUAGGUGGGAGGCUUUGAAGCGUGGACGCCAGUCUGCGUGGAGCCAACCUUGAAAUACCACCCUUUAAUGUUUGAUGUUCUAACGUUGGCCCCUUACCGGGGUUGCGGACAGUGUCUGGUGGGUAGUUUGACUGGGGCGGUCUCCUCCCAAAGCGUAACGGAGGAGCACGAAGGUUAGCUAAUCCUGGUCGGACAUCAGGAGGUUAGUGCAAUGGCAUAAGCUAGCUUGACUGCGAGCGUGACGGCGCGAGCAGGUGCGAAAGCAGGUCAUAGUGAUCCGGUGGUUCUGAAUGGAAGGGCCAUCGCUCAACGGAUAAAAGGUACUCCGGGGAUAACAGGCUGAUACCGCCCAAGAGUUCAUAUCGACGGCGGUGUUUGGCACCUCGAUGUCGGCUCAUCACAUCCUGGGGCUGAAGUAGGUCCCAAGGGUAUGGCUGUUCGCCAUUUAAAGUGGUACGCGAGCUGGGUUUAGAACGUCGUGAGACAGUUCGGUCCCUAUCUGCCGUGGGCGCUGGAGAAUUGAGGGGGGCUGCUCCUAGUACGAGAGGACCGGAGUGGACGCAUCACUGGUGUUCGGGUUGUCAUGCCAAUGGCACUGCCCGGUAGCUAAAUGCGGAAGAGAUAAGUGCUGAAAGCAUCUAAGCACGAAACUUGCCCCGAGAUGAGUUCUCCCUGAGACUUUAAGUCUCCUGAAGGAACGUUAAAGACGAUGACGUUGAUAGGCCGGGUGUGUAAGCGCAGCGAUGCGUUGAGCUAACCGGUACUAAUAAACCGUGAGGCUUAACCUU